UCUUACAGAUGAAGUCUGGAGCACUUCUCAGCCAACCUAACCCUUUAGGAUGGGACUCGGAAUCAAGACCAAUGUUCAAGGAACACAGGACCAGAAGAGUGACGGACGGAGCAUGGACUGAGCUUGAGAAAUAACACGAGGAUUCCACACCUCAGUGUCAUCAAAAGGUGGACCGACAACAAGAAAACCGCAACCAGAAGAGACGAUCAUAAUCAGCAUAAGCCCUCUAACUUCUCCACAUGCAAAAUAAAAACCUUUACCAUUCAUGAAUUAAUGAAAUUAUACGAGCUGCGGCUAACAGGACUGGGCUUGAAGCAAUCUCGUUCCCAGAUUUGUUUUUUUUUUUUUUAGGGAAGGGCCAGAAAAAUGGGAGACGUGGAAAAACCACGAAAGGUCAGCGACAUUUUUUAGUAGAUCUGCAAACCGCACUCUAUGGGGAAGGAUCUCAGACCCAUGUGGUGUUUAGGUAGACAAGGGGGCAGGCUUUUUUUUUUUUUUUAAAUCAAACCUAUGAAGAACAGUUUUUGGAUUUAAUACAAGAGCUUAAAGGGAAGCUGUUACUGGAUACAAUGAACCUGCCAAGGUUUUUGGUGUCCUAGCUCACCUCCCCUUUAAUAAAUUCUGGUACGGCUAACUGUACAGGACGGACACCGUGGGUGACUGCCAGGGGGCAGCGUAUCACAGCAGCAGGCAAAACGCCAAGCUCAGGGGCAUUUAUGAGCAUCGAGCAAGGUGAUGGGCGACGACCCACAAACACGGUGACCACAAUCCAAAUAUGACAUGGAAAGGGCUCCUCGUGGAAACCUCAACAAGAAGCAAGUAGAGGAGACUCAAUUUCAGGCCAUUGCCCUGUCUUCCAUCUUCACAUGUUGGAGAUGGUUUCAAAGAAUGAAAGGAUUCAAGAUUCGGAGACAGGUACUGUAUGGACCACAAAAGUGGUUUAUUGGAAGCUACAAAUAGACUCAUUACAGAGUAAGACAGAAGUUGUCCUUUGUACAAUGUACUUAGGAAUUCUGUUCCUACAAACUCCAUCUGGCUCUCCAUGAGAGUUUUUGGGGUCAGAGCCCAGGGUCAGCCAGUGUCCAACUCCCCAGUAGCAGUUGGGUUUAAGGGCUCAAACCCACAACCUUCCGAGACACAGGCUCAGAUCCUUAACCUGCUGAGCCGGAUACCGCCACCAUAACAUUGCUCUGGCGAGGGCAGGAAGAGGAUGAGACAGAAUCCGCAUUAAAAAUCUCCACAAAGGUAAACCACCUUAUAUCUGAACGCUCACACAUUCAGUUCUUUUUUUCCAUUCUACGAGCCGUUAGUUUCAAACCGGUGGCGGAAGGAGCAUCACGCCUGUGCCAGGUCUCUGUCCCACUUCUCAGUUUGCACUCCUGCACUGCAGAGUCCUCCCGAGUUUUCUGCAGUAAAAAUAUUGCGGCCCAAAAUGGGUCAGGCGCUGUUAUUUUAAAGGAACGUGCGAGUAGUUGUGUGCGACGCGUCACAAAGCACUUAAAGCAAUUUCAGUCUCUUGGAGAAAAAAAAAUGUAAUCUCCUUGGUUUACACGCUGAACUAAGAAAAAAUAAACAAAUAACAGCAGGUUAGGAUGUGGGACCUGAAGGUUACUAUCCCACUAGCUCAAAUCCCACUGCCAGUAGAGUGAUUUCACUGCUGAUGCCAUGAGCGAGGCCUUUAAUCCCCAGUUGCACCAGGGAUUGUCUGACUCAUGUUUCUCAAAUGUACAUCGCUCUGGAUACAAUCAGCUGCUAAACAAAUGUAAAUGGUGCAAUAAAGGGUAAACUGGGGGAGACCCUGUAUUUCGCACUGAGCCGCAUCUCUGGCUCUGCGUCCGUGACUGACCUUGCCUCUGCUCGUACUCACACUGAGAUGUCUGUGUGCUGCAGCUGAGUCUCUGUCAGAAGACCUCACCAUUCUGACACUGGCAGACCAGCCCACACAAUUAAACCCCAUUGUCCUGCUUGCCGGGAACAAGAAACCCAUUCACCGCGUCUUCUUGCACCCGCACCCUGACCGCACAAUACACAAGCAAGGGCUUUCCAUCUUCUCCAAGACGAGGCCGUCUCUAUAUGCAGCCACGUUUUCUCGUUCGUCUUUAAAAUAUACGAAGUGCCACAGACUUAACGUUUACGAUAUGAGCUUUACGAAGAGAGGCAGCGGAACGUAAACACGCAGAGGAGAGGUACACACGUCUUUAUCAUUAUCCUGAAUCCACCUCCGUUUGUCGCCCCCUUCUGGCUGGUCAGAUAUCGGCAUCAGAUGCGACUUGGGCCUGAGGUUUACAAAGACAGGACUCCAACCCUGCAGGAAAAGGCGGACUUUCCUAUUUCUAAUGAUUGAUUUCACCAACAUACAAGCCACGAGUGGAAAAAAGUAUGCAGCAUCUGAGCCGUACCCUGCCUGUCCAUCUCAGUCGCUUCCACGACUUGUGCCACGUUUCAAAGGCUUUCAGGCACCAGCAAACAGACAGGCCAGUGUCCGUCACCCUCGUCCCUGCUAACCGUCACCCUCCACGCUGACCCGGAGCAGCUCAGCUCUCAAGAUGUGUAAACUAGUUAAACUUGUGACACUUGCGGGACUCAGAUUUCAAAACACACAAACCGUUUGAGCAAAAGCAUGAUCACAACUGCAGCUUAAAAGCAGUUGUGAAUACUACACAGCAUCACGACUGAGAUUUCUAAGAUUUUUCCAAAGAUUCCCCAAGCAAGAAUGGGAAUCCAGCAUCAUUAGUAAAUAACAUUCUGUUGAAAGUUUAUAUUUCAAAAACCCAUGCAACGGAACACAUUGCAUCAUAUUAAAUGCACAAUCGAGUAUCAAAUCGAUCUGAAUGAACAUCACUGCUGGUUUCAUUUCACACCAGUCUGAUGCCUGUCCUUUACAGGCAAGGAAAAAUUGUGUGGUGUGUAGUCUCAAAAAAAAAAUAUAUAAAGCUCAUUUUUUCUAGAGAUGACAGACGUGGGAAGAGUUUGAGAGCCAGUGUAAUGAGAAACAGAUAGUCAACACACAGGAACUUCUCUGGAACGAGCAUAACAGGUUAGCGGAGUACUCGGGUAUCACGUACUCAUCUUCUCCAUGCCUGGGCAGACUUAGAGGCUCCGCAGCAGAGGUGCAGCCUAGGCAAGCCGCACUUACCGCGUUCCCCGAUCGCAGAGAGGAAGCCCGCAUCGCGCUGCACUCAGCAGCUACCAGAUGCCGAUAAAGAACCAGGCCCCAGCAAGACCUGGGCUCCCAGCUGAGUGACAGUACGGGGGAGCAGGCCUGUCACAACAAGACGAAACACAAUUCAUAACAGAAGACGGCGGGCGUCACAUCCUACCAGCUUCAUAUCGCCUUUUGCAGCUUUUUUAAAGAAUUGCUAACGACAGAGACAGUAUUUUAGAAAUGUUGAUCAGCACUGUAUUUGAGGAAAAUGAAAAAAAAAAGCAAAACAAUAAUAAUUACCAA